rnacentral:ncRNA from 2 species
GGCCUAUCGAUCCUUUAGACCUUC